UACGUAGGGUGCGAGCGUUGUCCGGAAUUAUUGGGCGUAAAGAGCUUGUAGGCGGUUUGUCGCGUCUGCCGUGAAAUUUCGGGGCUCAACCCCGAACUUGCGGUGGGUACGGGCAGACUAGAGUGUGGUAGGGGAGACUGGAAUUCCUGGUGUAGCGGUGAAAUGCGCAGAUAUCAGGAGGAACACCGAUGGCGAAGGCAGGUCUCUGGGCCACUACUGACGCUGAGGAGCGAAAGUGUGGGGAGCGAACAGG
rnacentral:rRNA from 1 species